GUCCUUUUGAGAAUUUAUAUAAGGUCUGGCCUGCCCACUGAGGAAUUGAAUGGCUGCGGUAUUCUAACCGUGCUAAGGUAGCAUAAUUAUUUGUCUUUUAAUUGAGGGCUUGUAUGAAAGGUUGGAUGAAAUAAUAACUUUCUUUAAUUCAAUUUAUGAACUUAAUUUUUAAGUUAAAAAGCUGAAAUGUUUUUGUAGGACGAGAAGACCCUAUAGAUCUUCACAGUUUAAUUAAGUAAAGGUGGUUUAGUGAAUUUUUAUCUUUAUUUAAUAAUUUGUUUGAUUGGGGCGAUUAUGGAAUUCUUUUAACUUCCAUUUUUUAUUUUUCARUAAUUAUUGUUUUGUUGAUCCAUUAGUUAAUGAUUAAAAGAUUAAGUUACCUUAGGGAUAACAGCGUAAUUCCUCCGGAGAGUUCAUWUCGAUGGGGGAGUUUGCGACCUCGAUGUUGGAUUAAAGUUAGUAUUAGGUGUAGCAGCUUAAUGACUAGGUCUGUUCGACCUUUAAAGCUUU
rnacentral:rRNA from 1 species